rnacentral:rRNA from 1 species
AGAGUUUGAUUAUGGCUCAGAUUGAACGCUGAGCGGCAGGCCUAACACAUGCAAGUCGAACGGUAACAGGAAGAAGCUUGCUUCUUUGCUGACGAGUGGCGGACGGGUGAGUAAUGUCUGGGAAACUGCCUGAUGGAGGGGGAUAACUACUGGAAACGGUAGCUAAUACCGCAUAACGUCGCAAGAACAAAGAGGGGGACCUUCGGGCCUCUUGCCAUCGGAUGUGCCCAGAUGGGAUUAGCUAGUAGGUGGGGUAACGGCUCACCUAGGCGACGAUCCCUAGCUGGUCUGAGAGGAUGACCAGCCACACUGGAACUGAGACACGGUCCAGACUCCUACGGGAGGCAGCAGUGGGGAAUAUUGCACAAUGGGCGCAAGCCUGAUGCAGCCAUGCACGCAGUGUAAUGAAGUAAUGGCCGUUCGGGGUCUGUAAAAGUACUUUUCAGCAGGGGAGGGAAGUGGACGUAAAGUUNAAUACGCUGUUGCUUCAUUGAUCGUUUACCUCGCAGAUAGAAGCACUCGGCUAACUUCCUGUGCCAGCAAGCACGCGGUUAAUACAGGAAGGGUUGCAAUGCAGUUAAUUCGGAAUUUACUUGUGGCGUUAAAGGCGCUACGCAAGGUCGGCUUUGGUUAAAGUCAAGAAUGUGAAAAUCCCCCGGGGCUCAAACGCUGGGAACCUGCAUUCUGAAUAUCUGGCCAAGGCCUGGAAUUCUUCGUAGAAGGGGGGGUAGAAUUCCCAGGUGUAGCCGGUGAAAUUGCGUAGAGAUCUGGAGGAAUACCGGUGGCGAAGGCGGCCCACUGGACGAAGACUGACGCUCAGGUGCGAAAGCGUGGGGAGCAAACAGGAUUAGAUAUCACUGGUAGUCCACGCCGUAAACGAUGUCGACUUGGAGGUUGUGCCCUUGAGGCGUGGCUUCCGGAGCUAACGCGUUAAGUCGACCGCACUGGGGAGUACGGCCGCAAGGUUAAACUCAAAUGAUUGGCGGAAGGGCGAUUCGCG